rnacentral:rRNA from 1 species
GACGAACGCUGGCGGCGUGCUUAACACAUGCAAGUCGAACGGUGAACGAGGGAGCUUGCUCCCUCCGGAUCAGUGGCGAACGGGUGAGUAACACGUGAGCAAUCUGCCCCGAACUCUGGGAUAAGCGUUGGAAACGACGUCUAAUACCGGAUACGACGCGGGAGGGCAUCCUCUCCGCGUGGAAAGAACUUCGGUUCGGGAUGAGCUCGCGGCCUAUCAGCUUGUUGGUGAGGUAACGGCUCACCAAGGCGACGACGGGUAGCCGGCCUGAGAGGGUGACCGGCCACACUGGGACUGAGACACGGCCCAGACUCCUACGGGAGGCAGCGGUGGGGAAUAUUGCACAAUGGGCGCAAGCCUGAUGCAGCAACGCCGCGUGAGGGACGACGGCCUUCGGGUUGUAAACCUCUUUUAGCAGGGAAGAAGCGAAAGUGACGGUACCUGCAGAAAAAGCACCGGCUAACUACGUG